AUCUAGCUGACGAGUCUCAACUGGGACGAAACACGUAUCUUGGAU
rfam:Schistosoma rodhaini strain Burundi genome assembly, scaffold: SROB_scaffold0014589